rnacentral:lncRNA from 1 species
AGGAAGAGGGCUGGGUCUCACCUGGAGCCCUUGGGCUGCAGUUGAGGCUUCAGAGAGGGCUGGGAAGUCAUGAAUCGCUGGCCUGCUCCUCCCACAGUCUUCCCCAGCUGGAGCAAUGCUGUCCACUAAAUGCUACGAUGCCAUGAUCUCGAUCUGCACUGUCCAGAGGUGGCUGGGGGAACCACAAGCUACAGGCUGAGGGAGAGAAGAUCUGAGUCAGAGAGGAGUUCUGGAGAAACCAAGCGCAUCCCCCUCAACAUGAACUCCAGUCAAGAUUGGUCAGGUGCAGUGGCUUAUGCCUGUAAUCCCAGCUGAGGCAGGAGGAUCGCUUGAGCCCAGGAGUUUGAGACCAGCCUCGCCCACAUCUUCCAUCAGAGGAUCCCACGAAAACAGUGCCAAAGAGAAUUCAGAACUACGUCCACUGGUCCAGUAACCCAUGAUAAGAAAACUGAGGCUCAGAACGGGAAGUUCAUUGCUCAUCAUCAAACAUCCAGGAAAUGGUGGAGCCUGAAUGGGAACUCAGCUUCCAACAUGGCGUGGAUGUGGCCCAUCCCUUGGUGGCCUGGCUGGGUCUAUCUUAUGACAGUACGAGAUUGAAUGUUGGAGUGCCUUGCAGAAGAGAGAGAAAAUGUUGCUAAAACUUCAGGGGAAUGACUGGU